CGAUUUGAGCUUAUUUUAAAAAAAAUGUUAAAAUCGCAAAAAGAAAAGGAGAACCCUUCGGUGUUAGGGUUUUUUUAAAAAAGGGUCACCUUUCAUCGGAAGUGAUGGCCUCGACCACUCAUGGCAACAGAACGCAAAUCAUCAAGUACAUUUUUUGAAAUUUUUCCUUUUCAUUUUAUGUUUUAUUUAUAAAAAUAAAUUCGUAAAAAAUAAAAGAGGAAAAAUAUCACCUUUGGAAUUUUGAAUUCUAUUUUUGAUUAAUCUCUUCUAUGUAAAAGAAUACAUGGUGGAUCUGGCUUUUAUAGCCGAAUAAUAAAUUAGAUCUUGAUUUUUCUAUGUAUUUUUAAUAUUUCUACUAUUUUUGCUAUGCUAUUUCUCUGCUGUUGUUGUCUUUUUUUGUUCUUUUUGCAGGAACUGGCGCGCGGUCAACAGAGAGUAGAGAAGGGCUGCCUUUUCCAUUUUGGUGCAAUGGCGGCAGGGGUGUUAGGCCUUGGAACGAGGCGCAGGCGGCAUGACUG
rnacentral:lncRNA from 1 species